AGGUUAAUGAAUAACCUCUAAAGGAAGUUACUUCACAUAAUGACAGCAAUUUCUCUGAACUAAAUGUUAAUUAAUAAGGCCUGUAAUACUAUGAGAAGGAAAUGGUGGCAAUUGGCAAAUGGAACUCUGUUGCUUGGUAACAAAACCUGAGGCAAAAAGGUGAGGAAGCAGAGAAUUAUUUUUGAAUGGCUACUGCUUAAAGAGUUGCCUGCGUGAGGUUUGGUGGCAAGAAGCAGAAGUCAGAGCCUGUGGUUCCUGUUGCUCUUCGGCGGUAUGAAAGAGAGAAGAAGGCGUGCUUCAUUAUAUGAAGCUUUGCUCCUAAGGUACAACUCUUGUAGACCUCCCGGACUCACCCAAUUUCCUCAUAGGCUUUUGCAUUAUCUUAAAAGAUGUUUCCCUUAGUAAUAUGGAGGAGACAAAAUCAAUAAUGUGCAAUACAUUUAAUCAACACGAAAACCUGAUUCUAUCAGGAGAACAGAUUAAAGGAGUCUUGCUUAGACUCCAGGGUAAUUGACAGUUUUUCUGCCUUAUAUGUGGAAUGAUUAUAACAAGUUGUAAUUCAGAUAAUGAACUUCUUAAUGCAGGAAGUUCUUCAUUCAGGAAAUAGAAGUUGGUGAAAUUGAAACAAAUUUAUUAAGUAAAUAAAGGGAAAAGCACAAAAUACUUAGUGGCUAGAGUAUUAUCAAUUGUAAAGAAGAUUUGGAAUAGAACAGUUAGGGAGCUAUAAUUCUUCAGUUUUUAUACUGUUCUACCACUCUAGUAUGUUGCUAUAAUUCUCUGAAUUAAUUUUUUUAAAAAUACAACAGCUGUCUGGAGAAACCAAUUUGAUCUCACUUUUAUUUUAUUUUUUAAAUGCAUUUGAUUAUGUAUAUUUGAGGUUUACAACAUAGUGUUAUGGGAUACAUAUAGUAGUAAAAUGGUUACUAUAGUGAAGCAGACUAACAUAUCUAUCAUCUCACAUAGUUACUUUUUUGUGACAAGAACAGCUAAAAUCUACUUAUUUAAUAAAAAUCUCCAAUACAGUAUAAUUUUACUAACUUUAUUACUCAUGUUGUACAUUGGCUCUCUAAACUGCUUUGUGCUGCUAUUUUGAUCGCUUGACCUACAUUGCCCCCAUUUCCUUUCCCUCCCACCCUGCUCCACAUCCCCACCCCCAUCCCACCCAUGGUAACCACUGUUUUGUUCUCUGUAUCUGUGUAUUUGAGCUCUUUUUAAAUAUGUAUAUAUUCUACAUAAAGGUGAGAUUAUAUAAUAUUUUUCUUUCUGUGUCUGGUUUCUUUCACUUAGCAUAAUGUCCUCCAGGUCAUAUUGUGGUAAAUGGCAGAAUCUCCUUUUUAAGGUUGAAU
rnacentral:lncRNA from 10 species